AAAAGGUCUCGAAAGAAAAAAAGAAAAGAAAAGGAGAUAAAAGGAACACAGUAUUUUGGGAGAAAAAUUUUGUCUUUGUGCUUGUAAAAGGUGUGAUUAGGCUCUGGAAACUUCACAGAGUCAUACUGAUCAGAUUUGAUCGAGGUAGACCGCCUGAAACAUUUACUCAGGAGAAUCAAACAAAAAGAUAUCUCAAUUCUCAACGCCCAUGCACAGCUUGAUGGAGUUAAUGUAAUUGGGUUGUGAGUAAAAAUACUCAGGACUGUGUUUCACUUCCAUACCAUUGGCGAAUGUCAGUCGUGCUGCUCAGAUAAUAUAUCUCAGUAUCUUACAGGUAUUGGGUUUCAACACGUUGAUGGACUAGUCCAGGAAUUGAGACAAUCCAUCGUCCAUAUCAACUCCACUCGAGUGGAUGGUCACCGUGGAAGUGGUGGGAAAGGGGAAAUCCUACCUCUCUGCUGACUCCUAUUGGAAUCUGGGUCCCUUUGCUGGGACACCAUCUAGUUUUUCCCCUUUGUCUAUUGUCUGUCCUUGGUGCACCAAGCUGUCCAUGUCUGUCAGUUUAUGUUUGUGGGUUUUGUUUCUCAUUGUUUAAAUGUUUUAUGUUUCAUGUUAAAAAAAAAUGGUAAAAACUUUAUCUGCCAGUCGUUCACACCUUGAUUUGGUUUUAACUCGUUUCAAAAAAGGAACAAAUGAAUAAAAAACAGUUUCAAUCA
rnacentral:lncRNA from 1 species